AAAAAACGUGAAACUACCGUCGUAUAUAUUCUAAAAUCUCGUUAGGAUUGGUAUUAUUGAUUAUUACAAAACUGUUAUUCUAUAUUAUUUUAAGUUUUUGUAGUCUAUAUAAUUAUAUUAUACGGCCAUCCCGAGAGUCCGAUAUUAUAUUAUUAUUAUUAUAACAUUAUGUGUUUAUUAUAAUAUUUGUAAUCUCAAUGCGCCGUCAAUAUUAUUGUAACAAAAUUAUCGUACCAGUGUUGUACUCAUUAUAUUCGAGAUACUGUACAAUAUACAGGACAAUCGUACCGGACACUUAGUAUACGCGUUGAUAACUGGCGAACCUUAAAACGACCUCCCCCCCUCUACUCGCCCGAAAAAAAAAAAAAAAAAAACUAAAAACCGUAUCGUCUCGCCUGUUGAGAACGUUAAAAGAGGCAUACGUUUUUUUUUAAGUUCGGUAACCGCUAGUUUUAACGAGUAAUCGCCGUAGUCGAUUAAAAAAAAAAAAAAAAAAACAACAACAAUAACAUUGAUCGGGACGUGUCGGCUCAUACCUGUGGAUAAUACGAUAGAAAUGUAAACAAACCGACAGAUAUAUAAAACGAUUAGACAGCCAGACUCCGUGUGAAAGUGUCACAGGACCUAUGAAGUUUGAUAGCCAUACGCGAAAAGGACAAAAGACGAUCGAUUAAUCCGUGAAAUGUUUAUUCGUGGGUUAUAAUAUGACGAACCGAACAAAAAAACGAAUUUUUAAUUUAACGAUACGCAAUCGGAAAUCGUUGCUGUUUCAAUCGAUAUUGUAUUCCGUGCAACAGUCUAAAAUUGCAUGGAUUAAUAUUGCAUCGUAUUUUGCCCUUUUCGCAAACGAAUGGCCGGACUUCGAUUCGAAUCGUAGCGAUCACCGCAGGGCGAAUGACGGGGAAUUCGUUCACCGUUGAGAUCGUUGGCGCCAGGUGGUUUUUUUUUUUUUUUUUACAGCGUGUCCGGUAUUGUCGUCUAUAUAUUAUACGAGCAUCCGCGUUAUUAUUACGUUAUCUGUUUCCCCCCCCCCCCCUUAUUGUUUAUUAUUUUUAUUAUAUAAAAUUAUUAUUAUUAUUAUUAUUAUUAGAGUUUAUGUAUUGUGUUAUAUUAUUACUGAUGAUAUCAUUAUGAUUAUUAUAUUAAUACGGUUAUUAUUAUGUUUUUCGGUUUUUUUUUGUUUUUUUCUUUUCGUUAAGCUUCCGUUUAUACACAAAUAUAUUAUUAUUUCUUUUUUUCUUUAUGUAUACGUCGAUUAAGUUAUGUACAAUAAAUAUAUAAUUAAAUGAGAGGCGAAAAAAAAAAAAAGAUACUCAAUUGAAGUGUAUAAAAAAAUUAUUAUGAUAUAUAUAUAAAUAUAUAUAAAUAUAUACAUAUAUAUAUAUAUAUAUAUAUAUAUAUAUAUACAUACAAAUAUAUAUAUAUAUAUUAUAUAGUCUACUGAAUCUUAACACGCUCAAUAAAUAAAU